GAUGAACGCUGGCGGCGUGCCUAAUACAUGCAAGUCGAGCGAACAGACCAGGAGCUUGCUCCGCUGACGUUAGCGGCGGACGGGUGAGUAACGCGUGUAUAACCUACCUAUCAGACUGGGAUAACUUCGGGAAACCGGAGCUAACACCGGAGAAUAUAUUGAACCGCAGUGUGCGAUAGAGAAAUUCGGUGUUGCUGGCUCGUAUCGAUGGAUCCCCGCCGCAUUAGCUAGUUGGUAAGGUAACGGCUUACCAAGGCAACGAUGCGUAGCCGAGCUGAGGGAGUGAUCGGCCACACUGGAACUGAGCCACGGUCCUGGCUCCUACGGGAGGCAGCAGUAGGGAAUCUUCGGCAAUGGGCGGAAGCCUUACGGAGCAGGGCCAAGUGAGUGGUGGAGGUCUUCGGUGCGGAAAACUCUGUUAUUAGGGAAGAACAGAUGUGUACGUAACUGUGCACUGAUUGACGGUACCUAAUCAAAAAGCAACGGCUAACUACGUG
rnacentral:rRNA from 1 species